rnacentral:snoRNA from 1 species
AUUACACAACUCAGUUUAAACUCUGUACUAGGCUCACAAGUGUAGGUAGUGUGCUACACGAGGGGCAAGUUUUUCGCUAACACCACAAGGGUCUCUGGCCCAAUGAGUGGAGUUGGAUAGUAAUACUUGCUACAAAA